rnacentral:tRNA from 2 species
GGAGAGAUGCAGGAGUGGUUGAACUGGCACGCCUGGAGAGCGUGUGUACGGGAAACCGUACCGUGGGUUCGAAUCCCACUCUCUCCG